AAUGUUGGCAUCAGUAGCGAGAUGUGGGUGAGAAUCCCACAGGCCGAAAACCUAAGGUUUCCUCAGGAAGGUUCGUCCGCUGAGGGUUAGUCGGGACCUAAGCCGAGGCCGAAAGGCGUAGGUGAUGGACAACUGGUUGAUAUUCCAGUACCACUACUAUCGUUAUUAUCGAUGGCGUGACGCAGGAGGAUAGUGUGUGCUAGCUAUUGGAUGCUAGUCUAAGCGUUUAGGCAGUGAGAGUAGGCAAAUCCGCUCUCAUAAUGCUGAGGCGUGAUGGGGAAGGUUCCACGGAACCGAAGUACAUGAUUCCACGCUGCCAAGAAAAGCGUCUAGAGAGAGAAGUAGUGCCCGUACCGCAAACCGACACAGGUAGGUGAGGAGAGAAUCCUAAGGCCGGCGGAAGAAUUACAGUUAAGGAACUCGGCAAAUUGAUCCCGUAAGUUCGCGAGAAGGGGUGCCUACGAGAGUAGGCCGCAGAGAAUAGGCCCAAGCAACUGUUUAGCAAAAACACAGGUCUCUGCUAAAGCGUAAGCUGAUGUAUAGGGGCUGACGCCUGCCCGGUGCUGGAAGGUUAAGGGGAACACUUAGCGCAAGCGAAGGUGUGAACUUAAGCCCCAGUAAACGGCGGCCGUAACUAUAACGGUCCUAAGGUAGCGAAAUUCCUUGUCAGGUAAGUUCUGACCCGCACGAAUGGCGUAAUGACUUGGGCAC
rnacentral:rRNA from 1 species